rnacentral:rRNA from 1 species
CCUACGGGUGACAGCAGUGGGGAAUAUUGCGCAAUGGGCGAAAGCCUGACGCAGCGACGCCGCGUGAGGGAUGAAGGUCUUCGGAACGUAAACCUCUGUCAGCAGGGAAGAACUUUCACUUUGCUAAUCAGCAGUGCAUUGACGGUACCUGCAAAGGAAGCACCGGCUAACGCCGUGCCAGCAGCCGCGGUAAUACGGAGGGGGCGAGCGUUAAUCGGAAUUACUGGGCGUAAGGCGCUCGUAGGCGGUAUGGCAAGUCAAGGGUGAAAUCCCCGGGCUCAACGUGGGAACUGCCUUUGAAACUGGCAAACUGGAGUGUGUGAGAGGAUAGUGGAAUUCCAGGUGUAGGAGUGAAAUCCGUAGAUAUCUGGAGGAACAUCAGUGGCGAAGGCGACUAACUGGAACAUAACUGACGCUGAGGAGCGAAAGCGUGGGUAGCAAACAGGAUUAGAUACCCUAGUAGUC